UUACCUGGUCUUGACAUCCACAGAACUUGGCAGAGAUGCCUUGGUGCCUUCGGGAACUGUGAGACAGGUGCUGCAUGGCUGUCGUCAGCUCGUGUUGUGAAAUGUUGGGUUAAGUCCCGCAACGAGCGCAACCCUUAUCCUUUGUUGCCAGCGGUCCGGCCGGGAACUCAAAGGAGACUGCCAGUGAUAAACUGGAGGAAGGUGGGGAUGACGUCAAGUCAUCAUGGCCCUUACGACCAGGGCUACACACGUGCUACAAUGGCGCAUACAAAGAGAAGCGACCUCGCGAGAGCAAGCGGACCUCAUAAAGUGCGUCGUAGUCCGGAUUGGAGUCUGCAACUCGACUCCAUGAAGUCGGAAUCGCUAGUAAUCGUGAUCAGAAU
rnacentral:rRNA from 1 species